rnacentral:rRNA from 1 species
UGGGGAAUUUUGGACAAUGGGCGAAAGCCUGAUCCAGCAAUGCCGCGUGUGUGAAGAAGGCCUUCGGGUUGUAAAGCACUUUUGUCCGGAAAGAAAUCCUUGGCUCUAAUACAGUCGGGGGAUGACGGUACCGGAAGAAUAAGCACCGGCUAACUACGUGCCAGCAGCCGCGGUAAUACGUAGGGUGCAAGCGUUAAUCGGAAUUACUGGGCGUAAAGCGUGCGCAGGCGGUUUGCUAAGACCGAUGUGAAAUCCCCGGGCUCAACCUGGGAACUGCAUUGGUGACUGGCAGGCUAGAGUAUGGCAGAGGGGGGUAGAAUUCCACGUGUAGCAGUGAAAUGCGUAGAGAUGUGGAGGAUACCGAUGGCGAAGGCAGCCCCCUGGGCCAAUACUGACGCUCAUGCACGAAAGCGUGGGGAGCAAACAGGAUUAGAUACCCUGGUAGUCCACGCCCUAAACGAUGUCAACUAGUUGUUGGGGAUUCAUUUCCUUAGUACGUAGCUAACGCGUGAAGUUGACCGCCUGGGGAGUACGGUCGCAA